AUCGUAACUCCUACGGGAGGCAGCAGUAGGGAAUCUUCCGCAAUGGGCGAAAGCCUGACGGAGCAACGCCGCGUGAGUGAUGAAGGUCUUCGGAUCGUAAAACUCUGUUAUUAGGGAAGAACAAAUGUGUAAGUAACUAUGCACGUCUUGACGGUACCUAAUCAGAAAGCCACGGCUAACUACGUGCCAGCAGCCGCGGUAAUACGUAGGUGGCAAGCGUUAUCCGGAAUUAUUGGGCGUAAAGCGCGCGUAGGCGGUUUUUUUAGUCUGAUGUGAAAGCCCACGGCUCAACCGUGAAGGGUCAUUGGAGACUGGAAAACUUGAGUGCAGAAGAGGAAAGUGGAAUUCCAUGAGUAGCGGUGAAAUGCGCAGAGAUAUGGAGGAACACCAGUGGCGAAGGCGACUUUCUGGUCUGUAACUGACGCUGAUGUGCGAAAGCGUGGGGAUCAAACAGGAUUAGAAACCCUUGUAGUCCUAGAGC
rnacentral:rRNA from 1 species